UCCGUUGAUUUAUUGGUUUCU
rnacentral:siRNA from 1 species